GUCUCGGCAAAAGUCGUCGUUAUGGAAACGAUAUGAAUGAUCCAGUAAGUAAGUACACCCCCACGAUGACAUUAUGCAGUUAUGAUAUUACGUUGUUGUUCAUAAAAAUUAUCUGAAAAAUAAUACAAAUCUAAAUCAUCUAAUCAGACCUAAUAAUCUUUGCCAUUUCAUUCGCUAUCCUUAACGUGACUCGUCCCCCCGCCCUUGUGAUGGCGUGAAUCAGCGUGGGAAAUAAAUACAAUUUUAAAAAAAGAGUUCCGUUAAUAAUGAUUCCCACCAGAAAAGAAAAAAAUCCAAAUGGAUCAUAGGCAAACACGUAAAGUGUGGGAAAGGCACAUCAGUCUCCUUUACUUCCUAUUGCUCACAGCUGCAUGGGAAAUAUAUGUUUGUGUAUACACGUACGUGUGUGUGUGUGCGCGUGUGUGUGUGUGUGUGUGUGUGUGUGUGCGCGCGUAUGAGCACGCCAACCUUCUCCAUGCAGGUGCUGCUAUGAGAUCACUUCCCUACUCGCCGGGCUUGCUUCCAUACCAGCCGCCGUUUCCUGUUCCAAAACAGGAAGCAGGAAGAGCAUCCCUAUCCAGCAGGGGGUCGAAGGUUAAAGGUCAGGAGCAGGAUUUGCGUGUCUGUGUAUCCUUUUGUUUUUUUUUAUCUACAGAUUAACCAAAUCUUCAUGGACAGAUCUCGGUCCGGAGCAGAAAUGCCAGAACGAGAGCCUUUACCAUCUCUUUAUUAAUUAUUAUUAUUAUUAUUAUUAUUAUUUUGCUCGCUAAUGUCUAAAGGAUCUGGAAGAUUUGACUUCAUUUACAGUCGUUCACUUGGCAGACGCUUUUAUUCAAAGUGACUUACAGGAUAAGAGAAUUUGACGGUUGUGGUCUCGCUCGAGGGUGUAACGGUCGCUCUUUGAGAACUAGCCCGACGGUGAAGCAGUAAACACUCGGGAAUGUCAAUAAACAGAACUGUGGGUUGGUUUUUUUUUUGGUUUUUUUUUUGCUAGCAUGAUGAAUCGUUUACAUUAAAACACCCACGCUACGAGCAUUUCACUGCAUUACCACUGCGACUCAAGGCCCUUUCUUACACACAGUCGAAUCUGAAUCGGAGCAAAAACGGAUCCUUUUUGAUUCGUUCGCUACUCGGCUCGGUUUAGCUUUCACACACGCGAAAUGAAACGAACCAAAAACACAAAUCCGUUCAGUUACUGCUCAGAAAUGAGUUUCUUGUUUCUCUCGAGAACACACACACACACACACACACACACACACACUACAGCUUAAGGCGUUUGGUUCAGUUUUGCACCGCGCAUAUAAAGAGCAAAACCACAAACACACACUACAGUUUUGAUUCACUUCCUGAAAUCGAGUCGACUCGGACGCUGAUCUCUUUAACGCUACGGAGUUAACUCGGAAGCGAACCGAGAAUCGUUCGGCUCGGACCCUCUCGUCAUGGAGCACGCCCGAGCGUGAUCGCGGCGUUCUCGGCUGCCUGAAGAACCGCACCGAAGUGGAGAACGCACAGGGGUUCGGUUCGAACGGACCAAUCGCUAUCUAGUAUUGAUAUCGUACAGUGUUAAUCACGAACCCGCUUUUUUCCCCCCCGGGUGACUAAAACGUGUCGAGUGUGUGCCGUGUAUAAGGGCUGUACGAGUCAUCCAGUGUAAAAGAAAUCUCCUGUAUGUAAACCCCUGCUCAUGCACGCACUCAUACUUCCUCUUUAAUACCAACUGUUUCCUGUCAUCUGUCAACAUGUACCAAGACGACCUUCGGCCUUCAUCGCUCAGCACUUGUGUCAGCGUGUAGCGGGCCUAGACAUGUUUCUCACUAUGUCAGUGUGUGUGUGUGUGUGUGUGUCACUUCUCAUGUGAUCCUAAAGGAAAAUGUGUCAACCGUCGGACGACGUCAUGUUUCCCGCUCACUCGUACGUGUUCGGGUGUGUGUGUGUGUGUGUGUGUGUGUGUGUGUGUUCAUUCAUGUCGUUAUGUACCAUUACUCCACACCGCUUGUCUAAACAAGCGCGAGGAAGAUUUCUGCGUCCGAUCGCUUUGAAAGAUUACCUUAUGAAUGAAGAAGGAGCAAGUGGGUGACGCUUGUGAUUUCAGGGGCAUCUGCGACGUGUCAUUUCCUGCUAGAGGAAGCGACGCGGUUUGCUCACAGCACAGUAACCGAAAGAGUCGUGUUGGUGAGAAACACCCUCGAGAAGUUCCAGUGUCUCCAUUUUGCACAAUUUGGGGUCAAUAAAGAAGUUUCCUCGGUUUACACACAGAGCAAUUUAGAACGGCGCUAAAAGGUUUGGGGUUUUUUUUUUUUUUUCGUGUCGUGCCACUAUAGUAAAAUAAUCAGCGACAGGACGGUGUGGGGAAGCAGAGCACUGUACCCAGCCCUAUGUUUAGGAUUAUUUUCCUAAAGCAGCACAUCCUGAAGACUUUUUCUUUCUUUUUUAUAUUCUUUUCGCAAUUUCCCGAAAGCUACUCAUACUUUUUAUCCGUUUAUAGUUGCGUGCGGCGUCCUCAAAGCAAUUUACACGGUACAGCACUCGUACGCAGUUAUUCCCACCACGGAGAACCCGUUACAAAGCGCUGACACUGGAGACUCCUUCCAUAAAACAUGUCCUUACAGAAAACUUCCCCUUAUAAACAAACAAUUACACGCUUUUAUUUAUUUAUUUAUUUUUAAAGUUCUUACUAUAGAAACAAGAACAUGUACGAAAGUAUUGGCUAUGAAAUAAACAAUUAACGUGAAGAAUGCGACAUUCAAUACGUUUAACAAAAAAUGCGACUCCCAACCCUUUGGGAUUCCCAUCAGAGCAAAUGGCAUCAGAGUACCGGCUGUUCAGCGGUCAGAAAAGGUCUAGAGAUGUCCGUGGGCGUGGCGUUUGAACUGUGAAACCGUCGGAUGCGCUUCAAGUGUUUGUUGAAAAACUGAAACGGACCAGUGAGCUUCGCCAUAGCAACAAGUCAACAAACAUACCUACCGGAUAAACAGAGGACUGGCACGACCUCAGAGGGUCUAGUCGCAACAUACGACCGCUGGUACACGUCAACGAAGGCCAAGGUCUCUGCUCGCGUAGCAUUAACGAAGAAUACCUUCACUUUUGAAGGAAGACUGUUGAACAGAUAAAAGAGAGGAACCACUAUGACCUCAGUGGGUUUAACCACAACAUACAAACCACUUGCAAACCUCAAGAAUGCAAAAGGUCCUUGCUAAGAAUGGACACUGGAUCAGAUCAGAUCGACCUGGAUUCCACGCGAUGGAGUCGAGGAAAUGCGGCGAAAACGACUGCUCACGUGACUUUCCACUGACUGAAACACGGUGGUGGUAGCUCCAUCGCAUGUUUAUGUAUUGCUGCUAGUGGAAACAGACCACUUAUUUUUAAUCGAUGUCACAGCAGGUGCGACUACCGGGGUGAAGUCCGGACCGAAAUACCAGCGAAUUCUAAAUCAGUUCUUACCUGGAAGAGUCCUCAGCUCAUCUUGCUUAGUGACACGAGUGCACAAAGUGAAUACACGACCUCCACUUCAAAUCAGUCAUCGAGAGCUCUUGCUCACACACACACACACACACACACACACACACACACACUAUCCACAUCCUUUACAACUCACCACUUGUUAUCUGUUAUCAGUGGCUCAUUCACACGCUCAGGAAUGAUUGAUCUCUGUUGACCUUUGACCUGGGUACUGCUCAGGCUCACGCCUCACAUUCCAGAAGACCCAGAAGAUAAGACAGGGAUUCCAGGCAUGUGUGCGUGUGUGUGUUGCAUAGUUCAUGGUUGUGACAAAUGUACUUGUGAUGCUGUUCCUUCUUUUUUCGCCUCAGGGUUGCUUAAAACUGGUAAAGGAGCAAUCAAUAUUAAAACUCAUAAAUAACAAAUAAACCGGUUCACAAUUUCUA